rfam:Myotis davidii contig319975, whole genome shotgun sequence.
UGUGUGGCUUCCUGUCCAUCUGCCCAUGUGGCUGAGGCCACCCGGCAAUGCAGCUCUUGCCUGAAUCUGGAGCACUGGGUG